GCGGUACCGGUUCACGCCACGACGGCCAGCCCCACAUGGAGCCCUGCUAGCGGCGACCCGGCGACC
rnacentral:ncRNA from 1 species